CAAUNCNCCCAACGGGUGAGUAACGCGUGGAUGACCUGCCCUUUAGUGGGGAACAACCAGGGGAAACUCUGGCUAAUACCCCAUAAGACCGAAAGGUGAAAGGGGGCCGCAAGGCUCUCGCUGAAGGAGGGGUCCGCGUCCGAUUAGCUAGUUGGUAGGGUAAUGGCCUACCAAGGCGACGAUCGGUAGCCGGCCUGAGAGGGUGAUCGGCCACACUGGAACUGAGACACGGUCCAGACUCCUACGGGAGGCAGCAGUAGGGAAUAUUGGUCAAUGGGUGAGAGCCUGAACCAGCCAUGCCGCGUGCAGGAAGACGGCCUUCUGGGUUGUAAACUGCUUUUGCCAGGGGCUAAAAAGUCCAUGCGUGGAAAAAUUGAAAGUACCUGGUGAAUAAGCCACGGCUAACUACGUGCCANCAGCCGCGGUAAUACGUAGGUGGCAAGCGUUGUCCGGAUUUAUUGGGUUUAAAGGGUGCGUANGCGGCUCUGUAAGUCAGUGCUGAAAUAUCCCGGCUUAACUGGGNAGGGUGGCCNUUGAUACUGUGGGGCUANAGUACAAAUGAAGUAGGCGGA
rnacentral:rRNA from 1 species